UGGGUAAAACUGCUUAUAUCCACAUCCAUGAUAAGUUAAAAUGACGGAAGCACUUUUGGAAUCAGCCAUUUUACUUGAAGCUGUUGAUUCCGCAUGCUUGGUUUAGAGCCAACUUGGAUGCUUAUUCGGUACAAAAUUUGCAAAGUUGGACAACAUCUGGAUUCAACUUUCAUCCUAGUCAAUACAACGACGUCGUUUGUAGAACGACACAAUUUCCUGUUCUCCGACUACAAUCCCAUUAAACGACGUCAUUUCUGUAGUUCUCUGUCCCUCCCCCUGCGUAAUGAUCAUCGCUACUCUCCAUCUCUCGUUCCCUCAUCCUCCGUCUUUUCACUCCCUAGCGAGCGGCGCGUGCUCCCACCGCCAACCUCUCUCCCUGUCCCACCUCACCUUCUCGUUCCCGACCUUACACAUCUUAAAAAACCCUCCACUUCAUCGGCUCCGACGAUCAAGCACUUCAUCGGCUCCGACGAUCAAGCUCGCCGGUGACCCAACCGCCGCCAAUGGAACUCAACGACGAGUCGGAUUUCGAAACCAUCGCCACACCCGACGGCUACAUCUCCAUCUGUGGCUUCGGUUCCCUCCUCUCCGAGAGAAGCGCGAGGAGUACGUUUCCGGAGCUGAUCAACUUCAGAGAGUCGCGGUUGAACGGCUUCCGGCGGGUGUAUGCUCACAUGGCUCCCAUUUUCUUCGAGCGUGGCAUUGCCAAGCCUGAUACCAAAUUUUGUUAGAAGCUUCCUUUUCUGUUAAGUUGUGUCAUAUGAAUUUCAUGGCUUAUAAUGAGCAACAUUUUUGUUGCACUUCCACCCUUCUAAAAAUGGUACCCAAAAUCCCUAAGGAUUUCAGGGAUAAAGAUCGAGGAAUCUUUUUACAUAAUUUGAUUUUGUUAUUGAACUGGGAGAAUUAGAAAACGGAAGGGUCUCGAGACGAGAAAUAGUAUUAGACAAAGAGCUACUUGGUCAGUCAAUGAGACCCUUUCUGAAGGAUUUGCCUCA